GCCUCCCGGCCCUUCCCCGCCUCACCGAUCGGCCGAACGGACGCCUGGAGGGACCAACGGAAAAAAUACCCUCCUGAAAGUUUAAAAGGAAAUCCAGUUAUCAAAAUUGACUCCAGAAGAGAGAACCUAACAGAUCAUUGACAAUGGAAAAAAUGGAGGACGUUACCAAAAAGCUACCAUUCCUCAAAACACCAGGCCCAGAUGGUGUUACAGGUUAAAAAAAUCCUUCAUGAAGAAGAAAGAUCUUAAGCCACAUGAUGGAUUCAGAAGCUCAUAAAAAGAGGUCGCCAAUCAUAACAUCUUCAAAACAAGAUAUAUCACCUCAUAUUACAGAUGUUGGUGAAAUGAAACAUUAUUUGUGUGGCUGCUUUGCAGCUUUCAAUAAUGUAGCGAUCACAUAUCCCAUUCAGAAGGUCCUCUUUCGGCAACAGCUGUAUGGAAUCAAAACCAGGGAUGCAGUGCUUCAGUUGAGGAGGGAUGGAUUUCGAAACUUGUAUCGCGGAAUCCUUCCCCCGUUACUGCAGAAGACAACUACACUGGCGCUUAUGUUUGGUCUGUAUGAGGAUUUGUCUUGCCUUCUCCAUAAGCAUAUCAGUACCCCGGAGUUCGCAACCCGUAGCAUGGCGGCAUUACUUGCAGGAACAACAGAAGCAAUUUUCACUCCAUUGGAAAGAGUUCAAACAUUGCUUCAAGACCACAAGCAUCAUGAUAAAUUUACAAACACUUACCAGGCUUUCAAGGCACUGAAGUGCCAUGGAAUUGGAGAAUAUUAUCGCGGCUUGAUACCUGUACUUUUCCGUAAUGGGUUCAGCAAUGUCCUGUUUUUUGGUCUCCGGGGUCCCAUUAAGGAGCAUCUGCCUACUGCAACAACUUACAGUACUCAUUUGGUCAAUGAUUUUAUCUGUGGAGGUCUGUUGGGUGCCAUGUUAGGAAUCUUGUUUUUUCCGGUUAAUGUUGUAAAAACUCGCAUGCAAUCUCAGAUUGGUGGGGAAUUUCAGUCUUUUCCCAAGGUUUUCAAAAUAAUCUGGUUAGAACGGGAUAGGAAACUGACAAAUCUUUUCAGAGGUGCCCAUCUGAAUUACCACCGGUCCCUCAUCUCUUGGGGCAUAAUCAAUGCAACUUAUGAAUUCCUGUUAAAGGUCACAUGAAAGAAAUAAUUAAGUGCCAUUUAUCAACUGACUAGACCUUAAAAGAAGAAUGCAGUUUGGCCUCGUUCCUGAUUGGCCAAAUAUAAGUUGGUGUCGUAAGUUCAGGGCACAAUGAAUUAUGGGCAAAGCUGUUUUCCUUAAGCACCAACAAAUUCAGAAUAAAAGGUUUCAAUAGGAAAAAUUAAGGAUUUUUGUUUUUUGGAUUUUGUGUUAUUUUCUAAUUAUUACCUGAGAACUUUAGACUAAUUGCUUGGUUAAUAGCUGUCUAUCUGAUGGAUGGCAUUUGACGAGGAAACUAAUAGCCAAUAUGGUCUUUUUCCCAAAGUCUUUAAACCUUCUGUAUUGAAACAUAAGUGGCCAUGACCAGCCAGAGAAAAGAAUUCUCAGGCUUACUUUUAUUACUCCAUUUCUUCUCUAUGGAGGAGUUGCAAAGAGUAGUCUUUGUUAAACUUAAGCAUAUACUCAAGAAGCAGGACAGAGAAGAAAAGAGCUUAAUGGGUGUAGGCUUUUGAUGAUAAAUUGCUUGUAUUAGUUUUGAAACAAAGCACCUGUUGGGAUAGUCAUUACCGAAACUUUCUUUUUAGGCAUGGUAGACUCAAGCAGCUCAUGAAAGCUCCCAUUUGCCUUCUAGAUUUGAAAGUUUUCUGAUUAGUUCUGAAUGUGACCUUAAAUCUGCCCCAAAUAUUCUUAUGUUAAUUUCACUUAUUUCAUUGCUAAAAGAUGGGGAGACUUAAAUUUUCUCAUAGGCAUUUCAUCCUGUUAAGUUUCAUAUUUUGCAUGAAAAUCAAACUCUUUAGCUCACUUUCUUUGAAUUGUUGCCAACUUAGCAAACAGCUUUGGGGCUUUUUUUCCUCUUUGGGUAAUAGUUCAUCUUAUUCAAGUAUUCUGUUCUCUUGAAACUCCUCUUUAAAAAACACUUCCAUAAAAUUUUAUUUUGAAAGUUUAAUAGGAUCUCAUUUUUUUCCUGGUUUCUCAAUUUUGGGGGGAGGUGGGGCACUCAGGAUAGCUUUCACACCACAGUGUUAGCUGUCUUUUUUUCUCUUGGAAAUAGAGACUUCUAUUAGGAUUUUUAUAUUUUAGGAACCCAAUUUUACCAUUAAAACUGCUUGAGAGGAUAAGAUCUUAAUAAAGAUAUUUGAAAGAUAAUUUUAAAUUUCUAAAAGUUGGUAAUAGCUGGAUAAAUUAGUUGUCCCUUACCUAACAAAAGCUUAUUUUUCAAAGAAAUCAGAUUUUAAACUAUAUUUUCCCUAUAAAUAAGGCAAAAUGAUUCACACACCAAUUGAAUAAUUAGUAAAACAUACACAACAUCCUAGAAAAGUGGUUUAUUUUUUAAAAAUUUAUCUUUAUUGAAAGUAUUACAGAUGUCCCUCUACUUCCCCAUUGACCCUCCCGCACCCAAUGGUUUAUUUUUAAAAAACCAUCUGUAAAUAUGUAGUUAAGAUUGCUUUCCAGCAUCUGACAUGGCAGAGUAGUUAGGUUUCUUAUUACUAGUUUUCAUCAUUCUGGGUAAUUGCAUAUGAAAAUGUGUACGUAAUGACCAAAAUAAAAUCAGGGUCUCAAUUGGUAGUUUACUCAGUUUCUGGGCAGAUAGUCCAAAAAAGAUGUUUACCUCUACAUGCAGUAUGGCUGGUCAAUAAAAUAAACAUCCAACCAAAAGGAUUAGGAAGCAUAAUCAAGCAUUUGUUAGGCAAUAAUCAAGCUCAGGAGAUUUACAGUAACUCUGACAAUGUUGUGCUAAAAAUGGCAGUUUACUUUAGCAGCCAAGGUGCAGAUGUAAGGAUUUCAGAAAACUGUCACCAAAUAAAUGUGAGUAGCAUCCUUUGGCUUACCAAGUAGAGUCAAGAGUCAGGAUUUGUAGCGGCUCUCAAAAACGAAUGACUGUGGUGCCUGACCCCCUCACUUGCGUGUGCAUCCCUGAGUACUCCUGGGCAUGUCUAGGUGCUCAGCUUGUGGCAGGUGUGUGAGCCUGGGGUCAUGCCCUCGCCCUGGGAAUGGACUCCAUGGGCCUUUGGUUCCACAGGGCUUCCUUUCAUCUAUACACUCCAUGCAGGUGGUAGAAAUCUAACUUAUAAAACACUUUGUGAAAUACAAACGAAGUGAGAAUGUGAAGGAGAUGCUUUGGUUUCUGCUGUCUCAAGUAUGUGGCAUUUACAAACAAUAAAUAUUUAUAAUGGUUUUAACUCAAUAUUUUUUUGAUUUCUUUGUCACUUUUUACAGCUAUUGAAGACCAAACUGCAAAUACAUUACCUGUGUUGUCCUAUAGACUUCUUAAUUUUGACAAAAAGUUGAACAGAACUUGUAGCCCACAGCUUUGUCUGAACUUUAAGUCAAAAUGUGUUACUAAGAUUCUAACUAUUGUUUUUACCUUCCGUGUAAACUAGUACAGUAAUUUUGAAAAGGCAAAUGUGAUCGAAUAACUAUUUGAGAAGCUUUAAAAGUGGCCCUUUCUGUUACAUAUGUGACACAGACUGCUCAUGAGCACAGGGCACUUCUGGUCUUGCCUCCUGUAUUCAUGCCUGAUGUUAGGAUUCCAUGUCUAACAUACGUCGAGUGGUGUGAGCCCUCAGGACUGCACCACUGAGUAAACGCAGUCUCUGGUGGCAAAUUCGUGUGUGUUUCAUUUGUAUUGGAGACAAAGUUGAUGUUUUUUGUCUCAAUAGUCAAUAUUCAUCUUACUUUAUGGCUACAUAACCACCUGCUAUAUAUUGUGAACUGUGCAGUAAAACAGAAUUGUGUAUAUACAAUCAUCUUUGGAGACCCAAACUCCCUAGCUCAGUUACAGUGUUAUACUCAGGAGGCUGUGCAAACGUGAGGGAGUAAUGAGGGGUGGGAGACGAGGGGUGUGGAGCGGGGUCUGGGGGCUCCCGGCGAGCAGUCAUGUUGACCCACCAACACUGGUUCAGUGCGGGUGAGCACAGAGCGUGAGGGCGUGCGGUCCAGAUGAGCGCAAGGCCAGAUCACACUGGAAGACUCGAUUUCGCCUAAAUUAAAAUAAUUCUCUUUGUUUUCUCAUGCAUAUAAGUGCAUAUCAAAGACUUGAACAGGCAUUCUUAAAUCUGAGACUUUUCAUUUUUAAUGCUGGUUUUUGUGAUUUUUUUGCUUAAUAUUAAAUAUUUGCCUAAACGGCUCCCAAAUUUUGGGGCAGUCUCUACAGUACAUGUUUCCGUUUUAAAAGUUUAUUAAAAGUGGUUAAGCACACAAAGCUGUUUUUGUUUGAUAUUUUGAAUUUUGUGACUGAGUUUAAAUGAAACCUGUUAACUGUUUCAGAGUUUUCAUGCUUCUUUUGGUAAUUCUUUUUGGAAUAAAAUUGUUUUCUUUUUAA